GACGAACGCUGGAGGCGUGCUUAACACAUGCAAGUCGAGCGGAGCGGCGAACGGGUGAGUAACGCGUGAGUAACUGCCCACCUCUCUGGGAUGACAGUUGGACACGGCUGCUAAUACCGGAUAGUGGGGGAUGACACGCGUCCUAUCAGCUUUGUGGUGGGGUAGUGGCAUAACAAGGCGACGACGGGUAGCAGGCCUGAGAGGGCGACGGGCCAGAUUGGGCUCAGAUACGGCCCAAACUCCUACAGGAGGCAGCAGUGGGGAAUAUUGCACAGUUGGGGUAACCCUUAUGCAGCAACGCCGCGUGCGGGAUGUCGGCCUGCGUGUUGUAGACCGCUUUCAGCCAUGACGCGGUAGUCGCAGAAGAAGCACCGGCUAACUACGUGCCAGCAGCCGCGGUAAUUC
rnacentral:rRNA from 1 species